rnacentral:rRNA from 1 species
GAGUUUGAUCAUGGCUCAGAUUGAACGCUGGCGGAAUGCUUUACACAUGCAAGUCGAGCGGCAGCGCGGGGCAACCUGGCGGCGAGCGGCGAACGGGUGAGUAAUGCAUCGGAACAUGUCCAUGUCGUGGGGGAUAGCCCGGCGAAAGCCGGAUUAAUACCGCAUAUGCCCGAGAGGGGAAAGUGGGGGACCGCAAGGCCUCACGCGAUUGGGUUGGCCGAUGUCCGAUUAGCUAGUUGGCGGGGUAAGAGCCCACCAAGGCGAUGAUCGGUAGCUGGUCUGAGAGGAUGAUCAGCCACACUGGGACUGAGACACGGCCCAGACUCCUACGGGAGGCAGCAGUGGGGAAUUUUGGACAAUGGGGGAAACCCUGAUCCAGCCAUUCCGCGUGAGUGAAGAAGGCCUU